GUGUCAGCAGCCGCGGUAAUACGUACUGCGCGAACGUUAUUCGGAAUCACUGGGCUUACAGGGUGCGUAGGCGGCUUUUCAGGUCUGGUGUGAAAUCCCCCGGCUCAACCGGGGAAUGGCAUUGGAAACCGAAAGGCUUGAGGUAGCUAGAGGCAUGCGGAACUUCCGGUGGAGCGGUGAAAUGUGUUGAGAUCGGAAGGAACACCAGAGGCGAAAGCGGCAUGCUGGGGCUAUUCUGACGCUGAGGCACGAAAGCCAGGGGAGCGAACGGGAUUAGAUACCCUCGUAGUCC
rnacentral:rRNA from 1 species